UACCAGAUCACUGUGCAGCUAUAUACAGGGAGUACCAGUACCAGAUCACUGUGCAGCUAUAUACAGGGAGUACCAGUACCAGAUCACUGUGCAGCUAUAUACAGGAGUACCAGUACCAGAUCACUGUGCAGCUAUAUACAGGGAGUACCAGUACCAGAUCACUGUGCAGCUAUAUACAGGGAGUACCAGUACCAGAUCACUGUGCAGCUAUAUACAGGGAGUACCAGUACCAGAUCACUGUGCAGCUAUAUACAGGGAGUACCAGUACCAGAUCACUGUGCAGCUAUAUACAGGGAGUACCAGUACCAGAUCACUGUGCAGCUAUAUACAGGGAGUACCAGUACCAGAUCACUGUGCAGCUAUAUACAGGGAGUACCCGUACCAGAUCACUGUGCAGCUAUAUACCGGGAGUACCAGUACCAGAUCACUGUGCAGCUACAUACAGGGAGUACCAGUACCAGAUCACUGUGCAGCUAUAUACAGGGAGUACCAGUACCAGAUCACUGUGUAGCUAUAUACAGGGAGUACCAGUACCAGAUCACUGUGCAGAGGUAUAUACUGUAUGUACAUGAAGGCAGGGUAAAGUGACUAGGCAUCAGGAUAGAUAAUAAUGAGAUUAAAUUAAAGAACACACUAGAAGCAGCAUAUGAUGUGUGUAUUUAACUAUUCUUGUGGGGUCCAGAAGUGCUAAAACCAAGCCAUGAGGUCGAAGUAAUUGCCUGUGCAGCUUCUGUGACAGGAUUGUGUGACAUUCUGCAGCAUUGAUGGUCCCCAAGAACACAGUGGCCUCCAUCAUUCUUAAAUGGAAGAAGUUUGGAACCACCAAGGCUCUUUCUAUAGCUGGACGCUCGGCCAAACUGAGCAAUCGGGGGAGAAGGGCCUUGGUCAGGGUGGUGACCAAGCUUUGACAAUGCUCCAGAGUUCCUCUGUGGAGAUGGGAGAAUCUUCCAGAAGGAAAACCAUCUCUGCAGCACUCCAUCAAUCAGGCCUUUUAUAGUAGAGUGUCAGACGGAAGCCACUCCUCAGUAAAAGGCACAUGACAGCCUGCUAGGAGUUUUCCCGAAAUGCACCUAAAGGACUCUCAGACCAUGAGAAACAAGAUUUUCUGGUCUUAUGAAACCAAGAUUCAACUAUUUGGCCUGAAUGCCAAGCGUCACGUCUGAAGGAAACCUGGCAUCAUCCCUAUGGUGAAGCAUGGUGGUGGCAGCAUCAUGUUGAAGGGAUGUUUUUCAUCUGCAGGGACUGGGAGACUAGUCAGGAUGGAGGGAAAGAUGAACAGUGCAACAUACAGAGAUUCUUGAUGAAAACCUGCUCAGGACCUCCGCCUGGGGUGAAGCUUCACCUUCCAACAGGACAAAGCACACAGCCAAGACAACACAGGAGUGGCUUCGGAAAAAGUAUCUGAAUGUCCUUGAGUGGCCCAGCCAGAGCCCGGACUUGAAUCCGAUCGAAGAUCCCUGGAGUGACCUGAAAAUAGCUGUGCAGCAAUGCUCCCCAUCCAACCUGACAGAGCUUGAGAGGAUCUGCAGAGAAGAACGGCAGAAACUCCCCCAAUACAGAUGUGCCAAGCUUGUAGCAUCAUACCCCAAGAAGACUUGAGGCUGUAAUCGCUGCCACAGGAGCUUCAACAAAGUACUGAGUAAAGGGUCUGAAUACUUAUGUAAAAGUGAUGUAUGUGUCGUGUGUCUGCAGACUAUUCUCCCAUUGCACACGAUAACACGUUCUGUAAAAAAAAUAUAUAUAUUUAUAGACAUGUAGAAAAAUGUCUAAACCAGUUUUUGCUUUUUAUUUAUUUGAUUUAUUUUACUAGGCAAGUCAGUUAAGAACAAAUUAUUAUUUUCAAUGACGGCCUAGGAACAGUGGGUUAACUGCCUGUUCAGGGGCAGAACGACAGAUUUGUACCUUGUCAGCUCGGGGGUUUGAACUUGCAACCUUCCGGUUACUAGUCCAACGCCCUGCCGCUUUGUCUUUAUGGGAUAUUGUGUGUAGAUUGAUGAGGGUAGGGGGGACUAUUUAAUCCAUUUUAGAAUAAGGCUGUAACUAGGGAUGAAAUGGUUACCGGUUUCAUGAUUUAACCACGGUAAAAUUCCCGACGAUUAGUAUUAUCGUUUCAAAUGUAUAUUCUGAUUAAAACCGUGUUUGACCGCGGCGUGCAGACGUCUGAUGCAACGUGGGUUUGGUUUUGUGUGAAAACAUGGCGGAAGGCAGUGAUGGCGCUCUGGAGAUUUUUCAGCCUUCUAAGAGGACCAAAUCUGAGCUGUGGUUGUAUUUUGGGUUUUCCCCUGAGUGCUGAGGGAAACUUAAUCGAAGAUGGUCACCCUGUCUGCAGAACAUGCAACAAAAUAAUUGCUGCGAAAGGGGGCAACACUUCAAAUCUCUCGAGUCAUUCUUCAUGACCAUCACCCACUACUUUAUAGCGAAUGCAAGAGAUGGACGUGCAGCAAACCCAGUGACGCUACUGGUCCCUCAUCUACGGUUGUGACAGACACUCCAGUAAGCAUUUAAAAGGCAGGCUGCUUAUGCACCCACAUCAAAACAUGCUCAAGACCUCACUGCAGCCCUUUCAUAUUACAUUGCAAAGGACAUGAUGCCAUUUCAUAUUGUUGAGAGGCCUGGCUUUCUGUGGCUGGUGAAGGUUGCUGUGCCCCACGACAAAGUGCCAUCACCAACAUUAUUUUCCAAGACUGACAUCCCAAACCUGUACAACCAGGUUAAAGCUGAUGUUGGCAAAAGUUUGGCUCAAGGCACAUGAUUUGCUGCAACUACUGACCUCUGGACCAGUGAAAGUGGGUGGUGGUCAACCCUACAUCAGCGUCACUAUCCAUUACCUCACCCCAGACUGGCAACUGGAAUCAAACUGCCUGGAAACACAGUUCUUCCCAGAAGAUCACUCGGCUCACAACAUCAGAGUUUUUUUUGCGAAUGUGUCCUGGACCACAUCACCCGUGAUGUUCUGGUGGAAACGGAUACGGAGCCGUCCCUGACUAAGGAGAUGAAAAGGGUAAUGAGAGAAGACCUUAACAACAUACACAGAGAAGGCAAAGAGAGUCGUGCACAUGGCUUGUUUCAUUGUCCCCUGGUGAAGAGGGUCAGAUUCCAACCUCCCCAGAAGACAGAGUGAAAGAAGAGAUCCAGGUCUACCUGUCUCUGCCAGCCAUUCCAGCUGAAGAGGAUCCACUGGUGGGAUGGAGGGGUCCUGCAUCAGAGCUGCCUCGUCUUGCCAGGGUUUCCAGGAAGCUUUUAUGCAUCCCAGCAACCAGCGUGCCGUCAGAGUGUUCAGUGCCAGUGAGCACUUUGUCUCCCCUUGCAGAUCACUAUUUAAACCGGACAAAGUAAAUAUGUUGACAUUUUUACAUUUCAGUUUCAAGUGAACAAAGAUACAUACAUACAUACAGGAUGUUAGGCCAGCAGCACCUUGUUUCUAUAUGAAGGAGAGAACAUACAGGAUGUUAGGCCAGCAGCACCUUGUUUCUAUAUGAAGGAGAGAACAGACAUACAGGAUGUUAGGCCAGCAGCACCUUGUUUCUAUAUGAAGGAGAGAACAGACAUACAGGAUGUUAGGCCAGCAGCACCUUGUUUCUAUAUGAAGGAGAGAACAGACAUACAGGAUGUUAGGCCAGCAGCACCUUGUUUCUAUAUGAAGGAGAGAACAUACAGGAUGUUAGGCCAGCAGCACCUUGUUUCUAUAUGAAGGAGAGAACAGACAUACAGGAUGUUAGGCCAGCAGCACCUUGUUUCUAUAUGAAGGAAAGAACAGACAUACAGGAUGUUAGGCCAGCAGCACCUUGUUUCUAUAUGAAGGAGAGAACAUACAUACAGGAUGUUAGGCCAGCAGCACCUUGUUUCUAUAUGAAGGAGAGAACAGACAGGAUGUUAGACCAGCAGCACCUUGUUUCUAUAUGAAGGAGAGAACAGACAGGAUGUUAGGCCAGCAGCACCUUGUUUCUAUUUGAAGGAGAGAACAGACAUACAGGAUGUUAGGCCAGCAGCACCUUGUUUCUAUAUGAAGGAGAGAACAGACAUACAGGAUGUUAGGCCAGCAGCACCUUGUUUCUAUAUGAAGGAGAGAACAGACAUACAGGAUGUUAGGCCAGCAGCACCUUGUUUCUAUAUGAAGGAGAGAACAGACAGACAGGAUGUUAGGCCAGCAGCACCUUGUUUCUAUAUGAAGGAGAGAACAGAUAUACAAUCAGUGCUGUUCGUUUGAUUUGUUUACAUAUUGUGUUAAUGUCAUCACCUGCACAUUGGAUGGGUUUACAUAUGGUUGUAUUGUUCUUACAUGCACAUUGCUUUACUUGUGUUGCUUAAGGUUGUGUUCAUUAAAACCUGCACUAAGGAUACUUAGUGAAUGGCCACAUGGCGCCAUCUUUAAUGUUAAGGAUAUUAUUUUAAAAAGUGCAUAGUGCUGCUAAUUGUAUUUGUUGUUGGUUUUCAGUAUAAAACUUGAUGAAAUUA